rfam:Gossypium arboreum cultivar AKA8401 contig_97432_3, whole genome shotgun sequence.
UUGUUGUCUGGAGAAGCGUCCUCAGCGGCGGACCGGGCCCAAGUCCCCUGGAAAGGGGCGCCGGAGAGGGUGAGAGCCCCGUCGUGCCCGGACCCUGUCGCACCAUGAGGUGCUGUCUACGAGUCGGGUUGUUUGGGAAUGCAGCCCUAAUCGGGCGGUAAAUUCCGUCCAAGGCUAAAUACGGGCGAGAGACCGAUAGCGAACAAGUACCGCGAGGGAAAGAUGAAAAGGACUUUGAAAAGAGAGUCAAAGAGUGCUUGAAAUUGUCGGGAGGGAAGCGGAUGGGGGCCGGCGAUGCGCCCCGGUCGGAUGUGGACCGGCUCUCGCCGUUCCACAUCCGACCGGGGCGCAUCGCCGGCCCCCAUCCGCUUCCCUCCCGACAAUUUCAAGCACUCUUUUACUCUCUUUUCAAAGUCCUUUUCAUCUUUCCCUCGCGGUACUUGUUCGCUAUCGGUCUCUCGCCCGUAUUUAGCCUUGGACGGAAUUUACCACCCGAUUAGGGCUGCAUUCCCAAACAACCCGACUCGUAGACAGCACCUCAUGGUGCGACAGGGUCCGGGCACGA